GACGAACGCUGGCGGCGUGCUUAACACAUGCAAGUCGAACGAUGAAGAGGAGAAACGCGAACUUCGGUUCAACUUUCACUUCGGAUUAGUGGCAGACGGGUGAGUAACGCGUGAGCAACCUACCUCUUACAAAGGGAUAGCCUCGGGAAACCGUGAUUAAUACCAUAUGACACAUUCAUAAGGCAUCUUAAGAAUGUUAAAGCUACGGCGGUAAGAGAUGGGCUCGCGUCCCAUUAGCUAGUUGGUGAGGUAACGGCCCACCAAGGCGACGAUGGGUAACCGGCCUGAGAGGGUGAACGGUCACAUUGGAACUGAGACACGGUCCAAACUCCUACGGGAGGCAGCAGUGGGGAAUAUUGCACAAUGGAGGGAACUCUGAUGCAGCGACGCCGCGUGAGCGAUGAAGGAAUUCGUUUCGUAAAGCUCUGUUCUAUGGGAAGAAAAGGACUGUACCAUAGGAGAAAGCCCCGGCUAAAUACGUG
rnacentral:rRNA from 1 species